AUUGAACGCUGGCGGCAGGCUUAACACAUGCAAGUCGAACGAGUGGCGGACGGGUGAGUAAUGUCUGGGCAACUGCCUGAUGGAGGGGGAUAACUACUGGAAACGGUAGCUUAUACCGCAUACCAUCGGAUUUGCCCAGAUGGGAUUAGCUAGUAGGUGGGGUAAUGGCUCACCUAGGCGACGAUCCCUAGCUGGUCUGGGAGGAUGACCAGCCACACUGGAACUGAGACACGGUCCAGACUCCUACGGGGGGCAGCAGUGGGGAAUAUUGGACAAGGGGCGCAAGCCUGAUGCAGCCAGGCCGGGUGGUUGAAGCAGGCCUUCGGGUUGUAAAGUACUUUCAGCGGGGAGGCGGUACCCGCAGAAGAAGCACCGGCUAACUCCGUGCCAGCAGCCGCGGUAAUUC
rnacentral:rRNA from 1 species